GCCUGAUUGGCUCAGUCAGUAGAACAUGGGAUUCUUGAUCUCGGGUUUGUAAGUUCGAGCCUCACAUUGGGUG
rnacentral:tRNA from 1 species